AACGUAGGAGACGAGCGUUAUCCGGAAUUACUGGGCGUAAAGCGCGUGUAGGCGGUUGAGUAAGUUCGUCGUGAAAGCUUCCGGCUAAACUGGAAGAGGUCGAUGGAUACUGCUCGGCUGGAGUGCGGGAGAGGCAGGUGGAAUUCCGGGUGUAGUGGUGAAAUGCGUAGAGAUCCGGAGGAACACCAGUGGCGAAGGCGGCCUGCUGGUCCGCAACUGACGCUGAGACGCGAAAGCAUGGGGAGCGAAC
rnacentral:rRNA from 1 species